rfam:Blastochloris viridis isolate 1 genome assembly, chromosome: I
GCGGGGCUGCGAGGUGCGUUCAGGAGACACGUAUCCCCGGGGCCUUAUCGAUCCGAAUGGGAGCUGUCCCUGUCCGGACCCGUGGGUCCGGGCAAACGGCGCCCACCUACUCUGUAGGUAUCCCGGGAUCGAUACUCCGACGGCCAUCGUGGCUCCGCA